AGUACUGUAUUGGGCAUGAAG
rnacentral:miRNA from 1 species